UGGCUUGAGAAGAAUUUUUAUUCAUUUUUGUUUAUAGAAGUUAUCUUUUCUUCCUGGGCAUUUUAGACAGCCAUUCCUAAUUUAGCCUUCAAUGAGUCAAAUAAAAUGAGAAUGACAAAGAAUCUGUCAAUUAAAUAAACAUGAAAAUGUAAACAUUCAAAUGCAAAUAAAAACAUUUCAACAAUCUAACAAUAAUUACAUUUCAAAAAAAUCUACCAGUUUAUCAAAAAUAAGCUCACAUUGGUCUAUGGUAUGAAUAUAAUCGUAAUAGUUUUUGGGUUUAAACUAUGUAUGUGUGAAUCCCCCUAGUUUUCUCCCUGACACUGAGACUGCCUAUUUUGGAAUCCUUCUAAUACCCUUUACAGUCAGUGGCAUUCACAAAUCAAUUUCACUAUCCUUUUUUUUUGCCUUUUAGGGCUGCACCCGAGGCAUAUGGAGCGGCCCAAGAAAUGGCAAAAAGACAAAAAAAAAAAAAAAAGUACUGAGUACCUCAAGGUAGUCCUUGGGUGGAUUAGCACUGGCAUCAUGUGGACGCUGGUCAGAAAAGCAAAAUCUCAGACCCACUCUAGCCCUACUAAGUAUGCAUUUUAACAGGAUCCCCCACGUGAUUCAGGUGCAUGUUAAAGUUUGAGAAAAACUACUUUCUUCUUGUAGACAGAUGUACACAUAUAAAAUUAUUUUAUUUAUAGGGUCAACUGAGGCAAAACAUGUUGGUUUCCUUAACUGCCACAUCAAGACUUUCAUGUCAUUUUAUAUCAAAUUGAAUAGGCAACAUGGAUUAACUAAGGUUUCCAAAUUGUAAUUAAUCUAUGGGCAAAUGGUAAAGACAACCCAGAAAGUUUAAGCAAUUUAGUAAAAAAUUUCUUAGGUAUAUUCAUCCUCACACUAGAAUAUGCCAGCGUAUACAAGUCCAGUUCUUCAUAUACAAACCUGAAAACCUCAAAGUUUAAGCUUGAUGGCAAAACAUGACUUGACUUGAUAUUAAGCUAUUAAUGUAGCUUAUUAACCCAGUGACUGUGAUCAUUCCUGUUCUGCAGAAACGUUAAUGUAUAAAUCUGGGGCCUGACACAAACCUCACUCGAGGUAUUAUGAAGUAUACAGUAUGAAAACCUAAGGGUUUCACGUAAGGGCCCUUUCAAGGUAAAUAGAGUGAAAGAGCAAAAGAGACCAAAGCAAGGAAAAUUAAAGCUGCUUGAGUAAACUUUCAUGCUAAUGCUGGCUAAAUAAAAACCACCUAAUAUGAUGCCUUAAGAAGCAAUACCAGAGUUCUCUUGUAGUGCAGCAGGUUAAGGAUCUGGUGUUGUCACUGCAGUGGCUUGGGUAGCAGCUGUGGCUUGGGUUCAAUCCAUGGCCCAGGAAUUUCCACGUGCAACAGGCGUUCCAGUAAAGGGAAAAAAAAGCAGUAGCAGCAAUAAUAUGACAAUAUGGAGUAGCGCAAUAAACUGCUCAAAUGAAGUUACACUGGGGGUCAAUCAGAAAAGACAAUGAAUUUGUAAAUGGCAAAGAGCAUAUUUCUGAAAUUUUCCCUUGAGAAACAAUUUAAAAUAUUAUAACACUGAAAGGGGUAUCUCCAUAGAUGUUUAGAUAAUCCAAAAAAAGGGAAGUGGCCUUUUUUUUUUUUUUUUUUGUUCCUUUUAGGACCAUACUCCGAGGCAUACAGAGAUUCCCAGGCUAAAGAUCAAAUUAGAGCCGUAGCUGCUGGGCUACACCACAGCUCAUGGCAACGUUGGAUCCUCAACCCACUGUGCUAGGCCAGGGAUCGAACCUGUGUCCCCAUGGUUACUAAUCAGAUUCAUUUCAGCUGAGCCACGACAGGAACUCCAAAACAGCCUCUUACUUUCAGCUUCUAAUACUCAAAAAUCAAGUCCAUCAAAAAUUCUCCUGUAUUUUCAACUUAAGUUUCUAGUAUGCAGUACACAAUUACAACAUGAUGCCAUUUAUUUAACAAGACUCUGGAAGAAUGAGUCUCCGAGAUCAAAUAUAUACAUUUUUAAUAUCUGAAAUAUUUACAUAAUGGAACCAUGUCAUGGUCCAAUGUUAAGAACAGUGUUUUCAAUUGUCCUCUUAAGAUGUAAAAAAAAAAUCUAGUAACUCAAACUCAGUUAUGCUUUUUUUUUUAACACCGCUCCCCCAAUCUUUAUCUUUUUUUAAAAAAUAAAUAUUCAGGACACAGGAAUAGCUGCACCUAAUUUCUGUUAAGAACUGUUUAAAACUUGUUACAUUUUCAGGUAAUUUUGCUCCCUUGUGAAGUUCUGAUCUACAAUAAAGAAAUCCCCAUCAAUAUCUUUAAAGUUUUGAUGAGCAGAGGUAAACGAGGUGUGUGUCUGCAUAUACACACACAAGAUAUAAACCCUUUACAGAACAAAUAGUGGUAACUGCCUUAAACAAUUUAUUCUUAGAAUUAAGAAUGUAAAGUCUAUAAAUUGCCAUGCUGAAUUUCUAUUGUACUUUUUGUCAAAUGUUCCUAGCUUGUAAAAAUGCCUACUUUUAUCUUUUGCUGAUUUUUUUAAAGGAUUUUUUUCACUUAUAGUUUUGAUUUUUUUUUAAACAAAAGGGUACAUAAAAAUUAAAUCAAGGACCAAUUAGUGCAAAAAUGCAUUAAAUAAAGCUCUCCAGAAUCUAAGGAUCUGCCUCAUUCUGAACAAUGAAAUGGGGGGGAAAUAUCACUAUGAUUCACACUCACUUAAAAGAGAGGCCGACACAGCCAUUGACAGAAAAAAAAGCAAACCAUUCUGUUCAACAGACUGCUGGC
rnacentral:lncRNA from 1 species